rnacentral:rRNA from 1 species
GAUGAACGCUGGCGGCGUGCCUAAUACAUGCAAGUCGAGCGAACAGACGAGGAGCUUGCUACUCUGACGUUAGCGGCGGACGGGUGAGUAACACGUGGAUAACUUACCUAUAAGACUGGGAUAACUUCGGGAAACCGGAGCUAAUACCGGAUAAUAUAUUGAACCGCAUGGUUCAAUAGUGAAAGACGGUUUUGCUGUCACUUAUAGAUGGAUCUGCGCCGCAUUAGCUAGUUGGUAAGGUAACGGCUUACCAAGGCAACGAUGCGUAGCCGACCUGAGAGGGUGAUCGGCCACCCUGGAACUGAGACGCGGACCAGACUCCUACGGGAGGCAGCAGUAGGGAAUCGUCCGCAAUGGGCGAAAGCUUGGCGGAGCAACGCCGCGUGAGUGAUAAAGGUCUUCGGAUCGUAAAACUCUGUUAUUGGGGAAGAACAAAUGUGUAAGUAACUAUGCACGUCUUGACGGUACCUAAUCAGAAAGCCACGGCUAACUACGUG